rnacentral:rRNA from 1 species
CUGCUGCCUCCCGUAGGAGUCUGGGCCGUGUCUCAGUCCCAAUGUGGCCGUUCAACCUCUCAGUCCGGCUACUGAUCGUCGACUUGGUGGGCCGUUACCCCACCAACUAUCUAAUCAGACGCGAGCCCAUCUUUCAGCGGAUUUCUCCUUUGAUAACAGAAUCAUGCGGUUCCGUUAUUUUAUGCGGUAUUAGCAGUCGUUUCCAACUGUUGUCCCCCUCUGAAAGGCAGGUUGCUCACGUGUUACUCACCCGUCCG